UUACAACAAUUGGAUUGUUGUUGAUAUUCCUGUUGUUAUGCAUCGUUCGAAGUAAUUUCUUUUCAUUAUUUUAAAGAAAAAUCCUUCUCCUAUGCCUAAGGGAGAAGUGAACAUUAUUGGGCAUUUUCCUUAUUAUCAUCAAUGAAAUACAAUUUUAUUCAUCCACAUCUAUGAUGUUUUCUUUUUACUUUUAUCUUUUUUUUUUUUAAAUGGUAAUCACA
rnacentral:lncRNA from 1 species